CACUUAGGUUGAAAACUGAGGGGAUGAGCUGUGGGGUAGGGGUGAAAGGCCAAUCAAACUCCGUGAUAGCUGGUUCUCCCCGAAAUGCAUUUAGGUGCAGCGUCACGUGUUUCUUACCGGAGGUAGAGCUACUGGAUAGCCGAUGGGCCCCACCAGGUUACUGACGUUAGCCAAACUCCGAAUGCCGGUAAGUGAGAGCGUGGCAGUGAGACUGCGGGGGAUAAGCUCCGUAGUCGAGAGGGAAACAGCCCAGAUCACCAGCUAAGGUCCCUAAGCGUGUGCUAAGUGGGAAAGGAUGUGGAGUUGCAUUGACAACCAGGAGGUUGGCUUAGAAGCAGCCACCCUUUAAAGAGUGCGUAAUAGCUCACUGGUCAAGUGAUUCCGCGCCGACAAUGUAGCGGGGCGUCAAGCACACCACCGAAGCUGUGGCAUUGACACAUUGCCCGGCCGUGAUGUCUGAGGACUCACGGUCCAAGCGUGUUGAU
rnacentral:rRNA from 1 species